UACAGAGGUCCCGAGCGUUGUUCGGAUUCACUGGGCGUAAAGGGUGCGUAGGUGGUGAGGUAAGUCGGAUGUGAAAUCUCCGGGCUCAACCCGGAAAUGGCAUUGGAAACUACCUUGCUGGAGGAUUUGAGGGGGGAUUGGAAUACUUGGUGUAGCAGUGAAAUGCGUAGAUAUCGAGAGGAACACCUGCGGCGAAGGCGGGUUGCUGGGCUGACACUGACGCUGAUGCGCGAAAGCCAGGGGAGCGAACGGG
rnacentral:rRNA from 1 species